rnacentral:rRNA from 1 species
CCUACGGGAGGCAGCAGUGGGGAAUAUUGCACAAUGGGGGAAACCCUGAUGCAGCGACGCCGCGUGAGUGAAGAAGUAAUUCGUUAUGUAAAGCUCUAUCAGCAGGGAAGAAAAUGACGGUACCUGAGUAAGAAGCCCCGGCUAACUACGUGCCAGCAGCAGCGGUAAUAAGUAGGGGGCAAGCGUUAUCCGGAUUUACUGGGUGUAAAGGGAGCGUAGACGGCAGUGCAAGUCUGGAGUGAAAGGCGGGGGCUCAACCCCCGGAAUGCUCUGGAAACUGUACUGCUGGAGUGCAGGAGAGGUAAGUGGAAUUCCUGGUGUAGCGGUGAAAUGCGUAGAUAUUAGGAGGAACACCAGUGGCGAAGGCGGCUUACUGGACUGUAACUGACGUUGAGGCUCGAAAGCGUGGGGAGCAAACAGGAUUAGAUACCCCUGUAGUC